AACGAACGCUGGCGGCAGGCCUAACACAUGCAAGUCGAACGCCGUAGCAAUACGGAGUGGCAGACGGGUGAGUAACACGUGGGAACGUACCCUUCGGUUCGGGAUAACUCAGGGAAACUUGAGCUAAUACCGGAUACGUCCGAGAGGAGAAAGAUUUAUUGCCGAGGGAUCGGCCCGCGUCUGAUUAGCUUGUUGGUGAGGUAACGGCUCACCAAGGCGACGAUCAGUAGCUGGUCUGAGAGGAUGAUCAGCCACAUUGGGACUGAGACACGGCCCAAACUCCUACGGGAGGCAGCAGUGGGGAAUAUUGGACAAUGGGCGCAAGCCUGAUCCAGCCAUGCCGCGUGAGUGAUGAAGGCCCUAGGGUUGUAAAGCUC
rnacentral:rRNA from 1 species